rnacentral:rRNA from 1 species
GUCUCAGUUCAGAUUGCAGGCUGCAACCCGCCUGCAUGAAGUCGGAAUUGCUAGUAAUCGCGGAUCAGCAUGCCGCGGUGAAUACGUUCCCGGGCCUUGUACACACCGCCCGUCACACCAUGAGAGCCGGGGGGACCCGAAGUCCGUAGCUUAACCGUAAGGAGGGCGCGGCCGAAGGUAAAACUGGUGAUCGGGGUGAAGUCGUAACAAGGUAAC